rnacentral:rRNA from 1 species
UACGGGGGGGGCAAGCGUUGUUCGGAAUUACUGGGCGUAAAGGGCUCGUAGGCGGCCAACUAAGUCAGACGUGAAAUCCCUCAGCUUAACUGGGGAACUGCGUGUGAUACUGGAUGGCUUGGAUGUGGGAGAGGGAUGCGGAAUUCCAGGUGUAGCGGUGAAAUGCGUAGAUAUCUGGAGGAACACCGGUGGCGAAGGCGGCAUCCUGGACCAUUAUUGACGCUGAGGAGCGAAAGCCAGGGGAGCAAACGGG